AGCGAACGCUAGCGGCGGGCCUAACACAUGCAAGUCGAGCGGGGAGCAAUCCCAGCGGCGAACGGGUGAGUAACACGUAGGUAAUGUGCCUUUUGGUGGGGAAUAACCGUGGGAAACCAUGGCUAAUACCGCAUAUCGUGCUUCGGCAUGAAAGCUUCUGAGGCAACUCGGGGGCGCCAGUUGAGCAGCCUGCGUCCCAUUAUUUAGUCCUAGUUGGUAGGGUAAUGGCCUACCAAGGGUACGAUGGGUAGCUGGUCUGAGAGGAUGAUCAGCCACACUGGAACUGAGACACGGUCCAGACUCCUACGGGAGGCAGCAGUGGGGAAUCUUGCGCAAUGGGCGAAAGCCUGACGCAGCGACGCCGCGUGAGUGAUGGAGGCCUUCGGGUUGGUAAAGCUCUGUGGAGGGGGACGGAAGUAAGGGACUGGGCUAACAUCCAGCUUGAUGACGGUACCUCUUUAGUCGAAGCACCGGCUAACUCUGUGCCAGCAGCCGCGGU
rnacentral:rRNA from 1 species